rnacentral:rRNA from 1 species
ACGGGAGGCAGCAGUGAGGAAUAUUGCACAAUGGGGGAAACCCUGAUGCAGCGACGCCGCGUGAGUGAAGAAGUAUUUCGGUAUGUAAAGCUCUAUCAGCAGGGAAGAAAACAGACGGUACCUGACUAAGAAGCCCCGGCUAACUACGUGCCAGCAGCCGCGGUAAUACGUAGGGGGCAAGCGUUAUCCGGAUUUACUGGGUGUAAAGGGAGCGUAGAUGGCAAGGCAAGUCUGAAGUGAAAGCUCGGGGCUCAACCCCGGAACUGCUUUGGAAACUGUCUAGCUAGAGUAUCGGAGAGGUAAGCGGAAUUCCUAGUGUAGCGGUGAAAUGCGUAGAUAUUAGGAGGAACACCAGUGGCGAAGGCGGCUUACUGGACGGUAACUGACAUUGAGGCUCGAAAGCGUGGGGAGCAAACAGGAUUAGAUACCCUGGUA